rnacentral:rRNA from 1 species
GACGAACGCUGGCGGCGUGCUUAACACAUGCAAGUCGAACGGAAAGGCCCUGCUUUUGUGGGGUGCUCGAGUGGCGAACGGGUGAGUAACACGUGAGUAACCUGCCCUUGACUUUGGGAUAACUUCAGGAAACUGGGGCUAAUACCGGAUAUGAGCUCCUGCUGCAUGGUGGGGGUUGGAAAGUUUCGGCGGUUGGGGAUGGACUCGCGGCUUAUCAGCUUGUUGGUGGGGUAGUGGCUUACCAAGGCUUUGACGGGUAGCCGGCCUGAGAGGGUGACCGGCCAAAUUGGGACUGAGAUACGGCCCAGACUCCUACGGGAGGAAGCAGUGGGGAAUAUUGCAAAAUGGGCGGAAGCCUGAUGCAGCAACGCCGCGUGCGGGAUGACGGCCUUCGGGUUGUAAACCGCUUUCGCCUGUGACGAAGCGUGAGUGACGGUAAUGGGUAAAGAAGCACCGGCUAACUACGUG